rnacentral:tRNA from 1 species
UCGGGAUGUAGCACAGUUGGUAGCGCGCCACGUUCGGGACGUGGAGGUCGGAAGUUCGAGUCUUCUCAUCCCGACCAA